CUGAUAAUCAAUUAAAGCAUUCAUUUCUCUAAACUGAAUGAAUUAGAUGAUAUAAGUCACUGAUAGGGUAACACAAAAAAAAAAAAAAAAAAACAAGACAAACAAAACAACAAAAAAACAAAAAAAAAGCAAUAAAAAGCAAAACAACCUUCAACACCUUAUUUCACAUGUAACACCACCAUUUAAGUAUUAUAACAUAUUAAGGCAACAACUGCAGAAGUUUUGACUUAAGACAGGCACAUCAGUGGCGAAUCCAUGGGUUUACAAGAUAGGAACCCC
rnacentral:lncRNA from 1 species